rnacentral:lncRNA from 1 species
GUGGAAUGCUAAACGAUGUGUAUAACAGCAUUCAGGCUCUCUGUGAGCCAAUCCGUCAAAACAUUUGCUGCUUUGAAAAUGUGCUCUUCAAAAAAAUGGGCAUAUGGAACUUAUUAGACUAUUUGGUGGAGUUCAGGCAGCAGAGCCCAAAAGAAGCAUAAAAACAUCUAAGGACACAAUUCUGCCUUAAGAGGGUUCAAUGCUCUGAGAUAAUGAGGUCCUCCCAGGCCGUUGCCUUCUCUUUGCUGAGUUCCAGAAAUAAUCAUCAUGGCUCUUUGGUCCAGGAAAAUGUGUGCCAGAGACUUCCUAUAAAUGAACUCCCGUCCACCAGCCAUGGCUUACCUAAAACCAUAUGCUUUAGAAGAAGCAAGAAGGGAUCACAGAUGUAUUUUUUCCCCACAGGACAAAAGAUAAACUGCAAUAAAUAUGAUAACAAGCUAUUAAUCAAGAAACUUCACUGUAAUAUAGAAUGAAAAGUAGUUCAACAGAAAAUUUGUGACUUUCUACCAAAAAAGAAAUAAGUCACAGUUUUAAGUCAGCACAGAAAAGGUUCUGUAAUAUUAGACAAUUGAUUCCAACGGGAUACACUUUCCAGGAAGAAUUUAUGUUCUUUUGUUUGUGCAAUCCCUCACAAGGACACAUCUAAUAUGCUUUCAUAGACUCUUACAUUUCCACAGCAACAUUUUCUUCAGAAUACAAUUUAAGUGGGUUUUCAAAGGCUCAUGAGAUACAGGAAGCUCUGAGGAACAGAAGGAUGAUAAACUGAGCUCUGCUCUCAGUUACUCUGUCUUGUCACUAAACCAAUCCAGAAUUUAGGCUGCUGUACCUGACAAAAGGCUUUGCCUCACCAUCACUCGCAAUUGUUGUGCCAUACAAGGCAGGAUGCCUUAUUGUUGAAAGAAAAUCAGUGGCAAUGUCAAUUCAGAUUUGGUCUGAAGAAAACACGGAUGUUUUUUAUACAGAGACACAGUCCAUUUGUCAUACAUAACAUGUACUUUUGAAUGACAUGACGUUUUUAGAAAGGAGCGUGUCUUCUCUGUAUUGAAAAAAAUCAACUGCAUGAGUCAAAUAUUUCUGCAGUGAAAAACAAAGGCCUCCAAUAAAUAAAAAUUCUGGUUUAAGCUAAUUUGUUGU